rnacentral:tRNA from 1 species
UAGCUCAGUCAGUUAGAGCAUGAUGCUGAUAACACCAAGGCCGGGGGUUCGAUCCCCAU